rnacentral:rRNA from 1 species
UAUGGCGACCGGCGCACGGGUGAGUAACACGUAUCCAACCUGCCGAUGACUCGGGGAUAGCCUUUCGAAAGAAAGAUUAAUACCCGAUGGCAUGGUUCUUCCGCAUGGUAGAACUAUUAAAGAAUUUCGGUCAUCGAUGGGGAUGCGUUCCAUUAGGUUGUUGGCGGGGUAACGGCCCACCAAGCCUUCGAUGGAUAGGGGUUCUGAGAGGAAGGUCCCCCACAUUGGAACUGAGACACGGUCCAA